CCUACGGGAGGCUGCAGUGGGGAAUAUUGCACAAUGGGCGCAAGCCUGAUGCAGCCAUACCGCGUGUGUGAAGAAGGCCUUCGGGUUGUAAAGCACUUUCAGCGGGGAGGAAGGCGGUGAGGUUAAUAACCUCAUCGAUUGACGUUACCCGCAGAAGAAGCACCGGCUAACUCCGUGCCAGCAGCCGCGGUAAUACGGAGGGUGCAAGCGUUAAUCGGAAUUACUGGGCGUAAAGCGCACGCAGGCGGUCUGUCAAGUCGGAUGUGAAAUCCCCGGGCUCAACCUGGGAACUGCAUUCGAAACUGGCAGGCUAGAGUCUUGUAGAGGGGGGUAGAAUUCCAGGUGUAGCGGUGAAAUGCGUAGAGAUCUGGAGGAAUACCGGUGGCGAAGGCGGCCCCCUGGACAAAGACUGACGCUCAGGUGCGAGAGCGUGGGGAGCAAACAGGAUUAGAUACCCGUGUAGUC
rnacentral:rRNA from 1 species